GGCUGGUUACCAAGGUUACCGCCGAGAGGCCGCGUCCUCAGCUGGUCCUAGACAUGCGUGGCGUCGGGGCUGUGGCACGGUCGGGUCCGGGGACACUUGUUUAACAAGACAUCUGCCCAUGUCCCUGGCCCAUCUCAUUGGCUGCAGCACAUCACAGUGGACCUUCUGCCUCCUCCCAGAUGCCCAGGGACAGUGAUCUGGAAGGAAGGGGCUUGAGGCUGUUUUCCUAGAACUCGACUUGAAUGCACCAAGGAAAGGCCAUUUGUGGGGACAUAGCAAGAAGGCAGCUGUCUGCAAGCCAGGAGGAGAACCCUCACCAGAAACCUCACAGAAAUCGGCCAACACCCUCAUCUCGGGCUUCCAGCUUCAGAACAACGAGAAAACAAAUUUCUGUUGUGUCCUGGUUCCCAUUUGUAAUUGGCACCCUAAUGAAACCGUUUUCUGUAGCCCUGGAAAUGGCUGAAAAUGAGGGGAGGGAAAUAAAGUGCUAUAAUUCAGAGCAUGGAGCACACCUUCCUGGUUCACCUGAGCUGGAUUCGGAGAGGUAAAAUGGCCAUUACCUCGUCUAAGCUGCCACUUACAGACACAGUACAGGAUGAGGCCCAGACCCACAGAGACAACGAUGAUGGCCACAGCUAAGAUGAUCCAGAAAUUAUUCCUCCACCAGCUCAUUGCAGUGGAAUCCUGAGAAGAAUGGAGAGAGAAGAAUGAGGCUGGAGUGCAAUGACGUGAUCUCAGCUCUCAGCUCACUGCAACCUCCACCUCCCGGGUUCAAGUGAUUCUCCUGCCUCAGCCUCCAGAGUAACGGGGACUACAGGCACCUGCCACCACGCCUGGCUAAUUUUUGUAUUUUUAGUAGAGAUGGGGUUUCGCCACGUUGGCCAGGCUGGUCUGGAACUCCUGACCUCAGGUGAUUCACCUGUCUUGGCCUCCCAAAGUACUGGGAUUACAGACAUGAGCCACCGUGCCCAGCUAAUCUACUGUGUUGUGUAGAGAUGCAGACAUCUGCUUAGGAAUCAGGCACUGGAUCACAGCCAUACCCUACUCAUUAACACCUGGGGGACCUCAGGCAUGUCACUCGACCUUCUGUGAGCCUCAUCUAUAAUAUGGGAAUGAUAUCUCCUACUUCACUGAGGUUUGUGAGGACUGGAGAUCGAACAUGUACCUACUGGGCCCUCUAGAAAUGGUAGACAUCAUCACUGCUCUUUCAGACAUGCAGCAGGAGGGGGAAGGUGCCAUUUAAAGCAAUAAUUGACUGCAGGGUUGUUUUUUUUCUUGAGACGGAGUCUCGCUCUGUAACUCAGGCUGGAGUGCAGUGGCGCGAUCUGGGCUCUCUGCAAACUCUGCUUCCUGGGUUCACAUCAUUCUCCUGCCUCAGCCUCCCGAGUAGCUGGGACUACAGGCGCCCACGACCACGCCCGGCUGAUUUUUUUGUAUUUUUUUAGUAGAGACGGGGUUUCACCGUGUUAGCCAGGAUAGUCUCGAUCUCCUGACCUCGUGAUCUGCCUGCCUCGGCCUCCCAAAGUGCUGGGAUUACAGGCGUGAGCCACUGCACCAGGCCAGUUUUUUUGUUUGUUUGUUUGUUUGUUUGUUUGUUUGUUUUUUGAGACAGAGGCUUGCUCUGUCGCCCAGGCUGGAGUGCAGUGGCGCGAUCUUGGCUCACUGCAACCUCUGCCUCCCAAGCAAUUCUCCUGCCUCAGCCUCCUGAGUAGCUGGGAUUAAAGGUGUGUGCCACCUCGCCUGGCUAAUUUUUAUAUUUUUAGUAGAGACGGGGUUUCAUCAUGUUGGCCAAGCUAGUCUCGAACUCCUGACCUUGUGAUCUACCUGCCUCGGCCUCCCAAAGUGCUAGGAUUAUAGGUGCAAGCCACCAUGCCCAGCCAGUUGUUUUUAAUCACAAGGACAAGUCAGACUUAAUGCAUAGCAGGGGAGAGAAAUUUUGAGAGCUUUUGUUUGAGUUGAGGGUUAGAAAAAUAGCUGGAUGGGUCUCUUUGAGUGAGUUAUGGUCAGAAGGGUGAAGCUGAAGAUACAGGGCAAACUGAGUUGAUCUGCAUGAGAGAGUUAACAGGCAUUUGGGGGCUGGAAGCUGACAGACCAGAGACCGGGAAAGUCUCGGAAAAGGUUAGCAGCAGAGUGAGAGGUCAAGAAGAGAGCACAAGUCAGAUCCUGGUUAGGAAGCUCCCAUAGUGGCAAAUGACCAAGGCGUUUCUAGGACAGUAAUGCCUCAUGUCCAGCCUUAAAUUGCUACCUAGGUUAUGCUGUGGUGUCGCCUUUUGUUACCAUCAAACCUCCAAUAAAACUGCAUAACACGGCCAGGUGCGGUGGCUCACGCCUGUAAUCCCAGCACUUUGGGAGGCUGAGGAGGGCAGAUCACUUCAGGUCAGGAGUUCAAGACCAGCCUGGCCAACAUGGCGAAACCCUGUCUCUACUAAAAAUACAAAAAUUAGCUGGGUGUGGUGGCACAUGCCUGUAGUCCCAGCUACUCAGGAGGCUGAGGCGGGAGAAUUGCUUAAAGCCAGGAAGCAGAGGUGGCAGUAAGCCGAGAUCACGCCACUACAUUCCAGCCUGGACAACAGAGCAAGACUCCAUCUCAAAACAAAAGCAAAGGCUGGGUGCAGUGGCUCACGCCUGUAAUCUCAUAACUUUGGGUGGCUGAGGCAGGCGGAUCACAUGAGGUCAGGAGUUCGAAACCAGCUUGGCCAUCAUGGUGAAACCCCUUCUCUACUAAAAAUACAAAAAAUUAGCUGGGCAUGGUGGUGCACGCCUGUAAUCCCAGCUACUUGAGAGACUGAGGCAAGAGAAUUGCUUGAACCUGGGAGUCAGAGGUUGCGGUGAGCCGAGGUUGUGCCAUUGCACUCCAGCCUGGGCAACAAGAGCGAGAUUCCAUCUGAAAAAAAAAAAAAAACACCGAUCUCAAAGAGGGAGUUGUGAGAACCCCAACUUGAAGCUGGUUGCUCUCAAGUUCCAGAGGCCCGGACUUGCGACUGACGUCUGGGGAGUUGGGGGCAGCAGUCUUGGGAACUGAGCUGUGAGAUCUGAUACUAUCUCUGGGUCUAUAGUGCUGGCAUUGAAUUGGAGAACACCCAGCUGGUGUUCACUGCUUGGUGUGUGGCGGAAAAACCCUCACACAUUUGGUCACAGAAGCCCUUUUCUGUGUUGGUGAUUGUUGUGCUGGUGUGAGAACAGAGGAAAAACACCGCUUGCAGAGUUUUUCCUGAAACAAUACUCUUUAGAGCGAUAGAAAUAAAUACCACGACCUGCGCAUUCAAAGCUGUUGUAUCUGGAUUGUGACUGCGUGGAAGGUCGAGGCGGGAAGACAGGGGCUGUUGCUUUUCGUUAUAAACUCUGCAUUACUUGAUUUUUGCACUACGUACAUUUACUUUGAUAACACUGGAAAGAAUAAAUUGGCCAUGUAGUGUAGCUUCCAAAAAAAACUAUUGCUUGGGUUUCAAGGUCAAGGAAAUUUCAUUCUCAUCAGUUUCUUGGGAAAGAGGAAGUGGAAUGAUGUUGUCAGAAAGUGAAACCAUGGGUCAUUUUCAGAACUACUCAGAGUAAUAAAUAUUUUUUGUCAGUUUUGUUCUUACAAGUGAAAUGGACCGCAGAGAGGCACUUUUUCUUUUCUUUUUUCUUUCUUUCUUUUUUUUUUUUUUGAGAUGAAGUCUCGCUCUUGUACCCCAGGCUGGAGUGCGAUGGCGUGAUCUCGGCUCACUGCACCCUCCACCUCUCCAGUUCAAGCGAUUCUUCUGCCUCAGCCUCUCCAGUAGCUGCGAUUACAGGUGUGUGCCACCAUGCCCGGCUAAUUUUUUUUGUAUUUUUAGUAGAGAUGGGGUUUCACCAUGUUGGCCAGGCUGGUCUCGAACUCCUGACCUCAGGUGAUCCGCCUGCCUCAGCCUCCCAAAGUGCUGGGAUUACAGGCAUGAGCCACCACGCCCGGCCGACACAUUUUUAAUAGAACCAAGGAGAGCUUGCUUUUUGAGAGAGGGCAGCUGAGAGAGGGGGCCUAAGAGAAUCACAUCCUAGUUCCAGUAGGAUGUCCUCUAGGCCACCAGGCUGGUUUAAUGGCCAAGGUGCUUCCAGAGAGAGGAAGCCCUGGGGAAGGAUGAUAGAGAGUACAGAAAACAGGGAGUACACAAUGGCUGCAUGACCGAGUUCAGGCCCUGGGAAGGUAUGAAAGCUGGAUCCUACCUGUGCUGGCAGACCUGGAGUUGUUGCCACAGAGGGCCGAUAAGAUUGUGAGUACAGGACUACUGAGGGCUACUGAAGGAUCGCAAAGAAGUGUUUGCACUGGCCGAGUGCAGUAGCUCAUGCUUGUAAUCCUAGCACUUCAGGAGGCCAAGGCAGGCGGAUCACUUGAGUCCAGGAGUUCAUGAUCAGCUUGGGCAACAUAGCAAGACCCUGUCUCUAUAUACACACACACACAACACACACACACACACACACACACACACACACUCUUACACUUAGCCAGGUGUGGCGGCAUGUGCCUAUAGUCACAGCUACUCAGGAGGUUAAGCUCCUCCUCAGCUACUCAGGGGGUUUCACCAUGUUGGCCAGGGUGGUCUUGAACUCCUAAUCUCAAGUGAUCCGCAUGCCUCGGCCUCCCAAAGUUCUGGGAUUACAGGCGUGAGCCACCCUGCCCACCCAGAAUGAACUUUCAAAAGGGAACAAGGAUUAGAGAAGGGAGUGACACUGAAUAGAACCAGAGAGAAGGGGCUUGGGGGCAGGAAGUUGAGAGCUCACACCUAAGUUUCCAUUUCCUCUGAGGUGGGAGGCAAAGUCAACAGUGUGGGGGUUGAGGUGGGAGGGGUCCGGCUUGAGCAGAGCAGUGCAAUAGCACGCACCAACUCCUCCACCUUCCAGCCCAGUCCCCAUCCCCCAUUCCCAUGGCGCUUUCUUCACAAUUUUAGUUGGUGGAGCCUCUCUCGUGAGGCCAUCCUUUCUCCUUGCCUACCGCAUCCCAAGAAGAACUCAGCUACGUGAAGGGAUGUCACUACCCCCUGCAAUAUGUAUAUGUGAAAUAUGUUGGGCGCGGUGGCUCAUGCCUGUAAUCCCAGCACUUUGGGAGGCCGAGGCAGGCAGAUCAUGAGGUCAGGAGUUCAAGACCAGCCUGGCCAACAUGGUGAAACCCCGUCUCUACUAAAAUACAAAAAUUAGCCAGGCAUGGUGGUGUGCACCUGUAAUCUCAGCUACUUGGGAGGCUGAGGCAGGAGAAUUGCUUGACACUGGGAGGCGGAGGUUGUGGUGAGCCGAGAUCACGCCACUGCACUCCAGCCUGGGCAACAGAGCUAGACUCCUUCUCCAAACAAAAUUUUAAAAAUGAAAAAUAAGUUGGGCAUGGUGGCACGCGCCUGUGGCCCCAGCUACAUGGGAGGUUGAAGUGGGAGGAUUGUUGGAGCCCAGGAAGUUGAGGCUGUAGUGAGCUGCAGUCACGCCACUGCACUGCAGCCUGGGUGACAGAGCCAAAUCUUGUCUCAAAAAAAAAAAAAAUGCAUUGAGCACAGUGGCUCACACCUGUAAUCUCAACAGUUUUGGAGGCUGAGGCAGGAGGAUCACUGAAGGCCAGGAGUUAGCAACCAGCCUGGGCAACACAGCAAGACCUUGUCUCUACAAAAAAAAUUAAAAAUUUGCCAGGCAAGGUGGUGCAUGCCUAUAGUCCCAGCUACUCAAGAAGCUUAGGUGAGAGGAUUGCUUGAGCCCAGGGAUUCGAGGCUACAUUGGGCCAUGAAUGUGCCACUGCACUCCAGCCUGAGUGACAGAGUAAGACCCUGUCUCAAAAAAAAAAGAAAAAACAGUGAAAUGCAUUUUUCUUCCAACUGAGCCUGUGACAGUGACAGUUGUCUCUUGGUGUAUUUGUUCUUUUUAUUUGUUUGUUCCUUGUCUGUCUCCCACACUGAUGGGCAAGCAGCAUAAGAGCAGAGGCUUUGCCUGUAAUUACCACUGUGUUUCUAGCGCCUAGAACAUCACCUGGGGCAGGACAUACCAUACAUAUCUGUGAAUAUACGAAAGAAUGGAUGAUGCCCCAGUCUCUUUCCCCUGCUAUAGAUGGACCUCCCACCCGAGAAUGCAGGCAGAAGUCACUUUGGGUCCAGUAACUGAAAUUACUGUGCUGUGCAGUCUAAUUCCAAAGCCUCAUCUGGACACGCGACCCUGGGCAGGCUCCCCGUCCUGCGCUGGCCAUUGGCUACUGGGGCCAAGAGGCUGGCUGGGAAGCAGUGGCAAUCCAAUGCUGGGGAGGUGGAGUUCCAGCUUCCCCUUUGUUUCUCCCCAUUCCUCUAGUUGUCCAUGACAUUUUCAAGGAACAUGAGUGAGCCUGUUGCAGUUCUGGGUGGUUUCAGUGGAAAGGAUUUGGCAAGACCUUCCACAGUGAAGAGGGCGUGUGAGUGGGAGAGCAACUGAAGGCAGUCAACACAUCAGCUUCACUUUCAUUUCUCCAAAGGGCAUUUCCAGGGUGUCAGGGACAGAAAUCACAUUUUCCUUCACCAGGAAUUUCUGAGACUGUGGGUUUAUUUAGCUUUUUUUUUUUUUUUUUUUUUUUUUUUGAGACAGAGUCUUGCUCUGUUGCCCAGGCUGGAGUGCAGUGGCGCGACCUUGGCUCACUGCAACCUCCAUCUCCCCGGUUCAAGCAAUUCUCCUGUCUUAGCCUCCCAAGUAGCUGGGACUACAGUCGCACGCCACCAUGCCCGGCUAAUUUUUAUAUUUUUAGUAGAGAUGGCGUUUCACACCAUAUUGGUCAGGCUGGUCUUGAACUCCUGACUUCAGGUGAUCCACCCGCCUUGGCCUCCCAAAGUGCUGGGAUUACAGGCAUGAGCCACUGCGUCCGGCGUAUUUAGCAUUUUUAAAAGAAGAUCUUCAGUAAGAAAUAUGGUUUACGUUGUGAUAGUUAUUCACGUAUUCACAUAAAUGAAGCGCUGAAGGGCCCUAGGCUGGCCAUCAAGGGAACAAGUUCCCCUCCCCUCCCCUUCCCCCAUCUCCUUUCUCCCCUCUUCUCCUUUCUCCUCUCUGCUCCUCUCCUCUCCACUCCUCUCCUCUCCGGUCCUCUCCUCUCUCCUUUCUCCUCUCCUCUUCUCUCCUUUCUUCUCUCCUCUCCUUUUUCUCCUCUCCUUUCCCUUCUUUUCCUUUUUGUAGAGACAAAAAAAUGUUGUAGACACACAAAAAAUGUUGCCUAGGCUGGUUUCAAACUCUGGGCCCCAAGUGAUCCUCCGCCCCAGCCUCCCAAAGUACCAGGAUUACAGGCAUGAGCCACUGCACCUGGCCAGAGGGAAUAGGUUUCCUGUUCCCACUUAGC
rnacentral:lncRNA from 1 species